AAAAACCAAUAAAAUGGGAAAUCAAGGGUAAUGAGACAAUCCUGUUUCUCAUUUGCCUGAGUUAUAAGGAAGGUUUAGAACACAGUCAGAUGUAGAACUAAAUUCUACAUUGCACUGCAGGUUUAGGAAGGACAAAAUGCAAGGUACAUUAAUGAGGACUAGUCACAAUAGUUAACUGGACUUAGAGGUGGAAUGUUGUCCAGGCACUUAGAAACUGGACUGAUUGGAAGCCCAGAAGGGACAGAUGGGUCAUAGAUAAUUACCUUUUAAUGCAAUACAUGUGUGCCUUGUAUUAACUGUUUGAUCUGCAGCUAUUAGAUUUUAUCUGGCUCUGCAGGGCAAAGAUUUAGUCAGGGUGUGUUUCAUCAAAACUGUUUAUAACCUAUCCCUGACCAGGCUUCCUCCCUUAAUCUUAAAAUUUCUCACUUCCCUUUCUCUCCUGAAACUAACAGUAUCUAAACUGCCUUUUUUCAGUUUGCAGAACUGUACAAGGAACAAUUUUCUAUCUGCCUCCUAUGUCCUCCAUAUUCUCAGAGGUGAGCAGGGAGAAAAAGAGUUCAAGGAGUUUGGAGGAGAUCAGAACCUCCUACUGAAGGCAGUAUAUGGAGGAGAAAAGCUCAUCCCCAGGAAGGUCUCUUCCCAGCUGGUGCCCAGGAGCCACAGAAUCGGCAGCUGCAAUGCAGGCACCAGAAGUAAACAGGGUGGGUCCCCGCCCAUGGACAAUUCUGCUGCCCAGGUGCCACCUGGUGGUGAUAAGCAGUAAGUAGGUAACAGGAAAAAGGAUGGCCACUUGUUAGAGGAAAUGUCAGGGAGCAUUGAGACUUCCUGGAUUUGCAACCUGCAUUUACAUGUAAACUAAAGUUGCCUUCUAAGGUUGGGUGUGGUAAUCUGGUCCCAACCUACUCUCCAAGAUGGAAGGGGCAACAGGAUUUGAGGAAACUUCCUCUGUGUUAUUCCUUGCAAGUUACUGCAAAGUAGUGGUCCCACUGUUGGAUCCAUCAUUAGAAAUUUCUGAAUGCCAAGUCUGGAGUCAGACUGCCUGAACAGAUUCCUGGCUCCGUUCCUUACUAGUUGCAGAACACUGGGUUGAUUACCCUUUAAGUCUUUCUCCUCUGCAAAAUGGUUAUAAUAAUACCUGUUGUGUCAAUGAAAUAUUGCAUGUAAAAAGCUUAGCACAGUGCCUUGGUUUCUGUUAAGUACUCAUACGCUGGCUGUCUUCCUAGAACUGCUUAUUUCCUGUGCAGCAUGACAGGUAUCCCUUCAAAUAUUUGAAGACAUCUAUUGGGUCUCUACCCUCAGUCUUCUCUUGUCAAUUUUUUUAGGUGCAUCACUGGUUUGCCAAUGGCCCUCUUUAAGGACUAUUUAGAGGAACACACAAAACUUUAGAAGUAAUUCCACCCAGACAUGGUAGAAAUGCUAUAUUUACUACAAUAAACAACUAUGGUUCUGUUAUCCUUAUGGAACUUCUAGAAAGGUCCCUAAAACAUAGCAGGCUCUUAAUAUUUAUUAACUGAAAUAUGAGAACUAAGAUUUUAAAUGUUUGUAACUAAUUGAAAGUCCCAUGCUGUUCUCCUGUGAAUUAUUGCUAAUGUAGACUUCUGCAUUUGUUUCUCAGACAGGUUCAAGCAAUUUUUAGGGGGAGGGUCAAUCCAAGUUACAAACACUUCUCAAUAGGAGUUCCUGUCAUGGCGCAGUGGUUAACGAAUCUGACUAGGGAUUCAUACCUGCAACUUCCUGGUUCCUAGUCAGAUUUGUUUCUGCUGCGCCACGAUGCGAACUCGUUUUUUUCCUUUUUAAGUAAAACAUAACCCUGGGGUAUAUCACUAGAGGCUAGAGAUUUCUCUAACGUGAAGGCACUAAUCAUCAUUCACGAGGCACAAAUGUUCAGUUUUGAUUCCAAAUCAAACUCUACUAUUAAACGACUCAUAAUAAUCGUCUUAUCUGCAAUGACUUAGCAGAUGAGAAAGAGGAAAGCAGCUCCUGAAAUCUGGGAACUGGCUUGACACAGCUAGGCUUUGGACUUGUUGGGGCUAACUUGGGAAGGUAGGAAAUGGUGCUCUCCUUGGGGAUACAAACAGUCCCUCAAAACACCAGCAUCAGACAAGGGCACUCAGACACUGUGAUGAAGUGAGGCAAAAAAAACAAGGUCGCUUCACAAUUUUGUUUAAGCACGAAAAAGGUCAGUGUGCAAACCAUAAAAGAGCAGACAUCCCCUUCUCCCAGCUAAUGGGUGACUGCUGCUUCAUUACCUAUUACAGUUCAGCUUUCACUUUAGCAUUAUCUGCUUCCCUGACAGCACCCAAUCCAGAGUGAAGUCCCACUCCCUUGAACCUUCUGCCAACUCAUUUAACGGAAGUCCAAGUCCUAUAGGUCUUUUCUAACACCCUUGUGCAAGACACACCAUGGUUCCGCAUGGCAGUCUCUCUUCAUCACUGCAAUGAACAUUAAGCCCAACUUGUUCAACUGCAAGUAUAUUUCUGGUGGUCUUCAGCUGGAGCAUGUUAAUACAGUACAGACAAUGUCUACAGUUUCCCAAAUGUACCUCUUUAGAGAUACUUGGCAAAAAUAAAUAAAUAAUAAUAAUAAAGUUAGCUUGUCGGGAUUUGGCUAGGACAAACUCAUGUUGGUAUUUAUGAUAACAUUUGUCUAAAUGCUCAUAAACCAUCUCUUUUAAUAAUCCAGAACUGUGCCAGAAAAAUCAACAUUAAGCUUAUCAAUGUGUGGUUUCUAAAAUCCACAAAAAACAUUUCAGUAUUUGCCCAUUUGUAGUCUUUAGGUACCCCCCCUUUUUUAAUGACUGGCCUUGACCUAGCCCACCAUCUCCAACCCCAGGUGUAACCUGAGUGAUCAACCAGACAAGAGAGCAAGAGGUAGCAGGAGAUAUGAUGGGGUGAGAACCCAGGAUCACUUUCUCUACCCCAAAAUCCACUGUUCCAUUAGCCUGGACACCUGAGUUGUUUCCCCUACAUCAGCCAUGCGCUGAGGAGGAACUGAGGUUUGCUUACUGGGACCCUUGGCCUUACUGACUCUUAAUUGGAUUAAAAACCUCUGUGGUCCUAUGUGGAGGCAGAGGGAAGAAACGGAUGAAAUCUAAAGCUUGUGUCCCCAGAAGAACUCUCCCUUUCCCAGCACCUCUCAAGCCUUGAAGGCUUAAGGCACUGGUAACUGAGGAAGGGAUGGGGUAGGAGGGACAUUAACUGCUGUCAACAACUCAGGGAGCAACUGCCACCUGCCCUGCUCUGUUUGAAUAAGGGAAGGAUCUGUCAAUACAUACCCCAUUCCCAUUUCCCAGCAAAUUCACCCUCCUUAGUACUUGCCCCCCCUAAAUGACCCUAGAAGCCCUGGUUACUAAGGCAACCUGGGAAUAGUAUAUGCAGAUAGAAACCAGAACAGAUGGGACUAUUUUUAAACUAGACUUGGUGGCUCCAAUGUUUUUACCCCACAAAGUACCUUCCCCAAAGCCCCACUUGGCUUUGCUCUGGGUCCUACCCUUAUUCUCUGGCCUCUGCCCAACCUACCCAAGCUAUGUGAGAGUGGGAUCUUUAUCCCAUUUGGCAUGAGAUCUAUUUACUGUUCCCAUCUUCCACACAGAAUAUCUAAGCAAGUUUAAACUGCCUCCAUUUGUUAAAAAUAAUUUUGUUUUUAUUUCUUUGGAACGUGGUGGGCCCUGCCCUACGGAUUUCCAGGCCAAGCCAAGGUAAUGAAUGCUCCCCUAGUCUUUGGGCUGGAGUACUGUGGUCCCUGCCUUCCCCACGGGCCCAGGAGCAGCUCAACUAGGCCCCAAACUGUCUGAGGGCUCCUAUCAGGCCUUCUCUCCUGGCCACCCACUUCCCAUUCUUUCCUGGCUUUCCCUCUGGACAGGGUAUUUUUUUCUUCCAAAGCCAGUGCUGGAACCUGUGCUGUGCGGGAGAGGACAAGACCAAGUAUGUCCCCAAAUUCCCAUCAGAGGACAGCCCCUCAGCCAGUCCUUCCUCUGAUGCCUUCAGUCUGCACUCCUAUGCAAGCCCCCUCUGUGAGGCUUGAAGGAAGAUGGGAAAAGAGGACCCUCGUCAAAGGGAGGUGACGGAACUUGCACUUGGCUCCUCUCUGGCAAUCACCCUUGAGAAAGUCGCGGCAGAUAGGGACCUCCUCCUUGCCAUUUGGUAGGUCAGCUGGUGAAAGACCCAGGCCGGC